rnacentral:rRNA from 1 species
AUUGAACGCUGGCGGCAUGCUUUACACAUGCAAGUCGAACGGUAACAGGGUGCUUGCACCGCUGACGAGUGGCGAACGGGUGAGUAAUGCGUCGGAACGUGCCGAGUAGUGGGGGAUAACGCAGCGAAAGUUGUGCUAAUACCGCAUACGUACUGAGGUAGAAAGUGGGGGACCUUCGGGCCUCACGCUAUUCGAGCGGCCGACGUCUGAUUAGCUAGUAGGGGGGGUAAAGGCUCACCUAGGCGACGAUCAGUAGCGGGUCUGAGAGGAUGAUCCGCCACACUGGGACUGAGACACGGCCCAGACUCCUACGGGAGGCAGCAGUGGGGAAUUUUUGACAAUGGGCGAAAGCCUGAUCCAGCCAUGCCGCGUGUCUGAAGAAGGCCUUCGGGUUGUAAAGGACUUUUGUCAGGGAGGAAAUCCCUAGUGCUAAUAACACUGGGGGAUGACAGUACCUGAAGAAUAAGCACCGGCUAACUAAGUGCCAGCCGCCGCGGUAA